rnacentral:piRNA from 2 species
UAGAAGCAAUUGUCGUACAAGGCUGGC